GGAGCAAAAGAUGCUUUUUUUUUACCUUAGGAUUAAAACAAUGAAUUGAUCUACUCCACCUCAGCAAGAGAGCACAUGCACCUCUCCACACUCAAUCAAAAUAGACCACACACUUUCUCUAUAUGAUUUUCUCUCACCUCUAUCACUUGCUUAUCUUGUCUUCUAUUUCUCUCUCUUAAGUUUCUUCCUCAUUUUACAACCCAGCAAUCAUAUGCACACACAGACUGUUAUCUCGCCCUCAUUCUCACCUCCUUUCCUCAAGAUACUUCACUGUUGCAAUUUAGGCAUGGGAAGCAUUAAACUGGGAACAUACAUACAUUCCUUUGGUUGCUGCAAAAGAAUAAUGUAUCACAUCUAAGCGAAUAAUUAUGUAUGAAAAUAACUAUUUAAGUACAACAAUUACCAAAGCAGCUAGGCUGACAUUUCUGCACGCUCCACAUACAAUCCGAGGUUUCUGGAAAAGUGUUAUUUUUAAAGAACCCUAAAAAAUAAAACAUGUGAUUAGCUUGUGGAUUUGAAAAAUAAGCUUGUGCUUUCUUCGUGCCAUUCAAUUCCGAUCAAAACUCCAUAAAAAUCGUUGAAUUUCAUUGUGUACCGAGGGAGAUAUGACCGGGUCGAUUAACGGGUCAAAAAACCCGUUUGAGUGUCUACGGGCGAAGAAGAUGAGAUUAAAAAAAGAUAAAAAAAA
rnacentral:lncRNA from 1 species